rnacentral:rRNA from 1 species
GACGAACGCUGGCGGCGUGCUUAACACAUGCAAGUCGAACGAAGUGGCGACCGGGUGAGUAAUACGUGAGUAACCUGCCCUCCUUUUUGGGAUAAGCCUUGGAAACGGGGUCUAAUACCGCAUAAAGGGGGAUGGGCUCGCGGCCUAUCAGCUUGGUGGUGGGGUGAUGGCCUACCAAGGCGGUGCCGGGUAGCCGGCCUGAGAGGGGGACCGGCCACGUUGGGACGUAGAGACGGCCCAGACGCCUACGCGAGGCACCAGUGGGGGAUAUUGCACAAUGGGCGAAAGCCUGAUGCAGCGAAGUCGCGUGGGGGAGGAAGGUUUUAGGGUUGUAAACCUCUUUCGCUACGGAACGGGUAGGUGGAGAAGAAGGGCCGGCUAACUACGUGCCAGCAGCCGCGGUAAUAC